rnacentral:rRNA from 1 species
UUGAACGCUGGCGGCAUGCCUUACACAUGGCAAGUCGAACGGCAGCACGGGAGCAAUCCUGGUGGCGAGUGGCGAACGGGUGAGUAAUAUAUCGGAACGUGCCCAGUCGUGGGGGAUAACGUAGCGAAAGCUACGCUAAUACCGCAUACGAUCUAUGGAUGAAAGCGGGGAUCGCAAGACCUCGCGCGAUUGGAGCGGCCGAUAUCAGAUUAGGUAGUUGGUGAGGUAAAGGCUCACCAAGCCGACGAUCUGUAGCUGGUCUGAGAGGACGACCAGCCACACUGGGACUGAGACACGGGCCCCAGACUCCUACGGGAGGCAGCAGUGGGGAAUUUUGGACAAUGGGCGCAAGCCUGAUCCAGCAAUGCCGCGUGCAGGAUGAAGGCCUUCGGGUUGUAAACUGCUUUGUACGGAACGAAACGGUGAGCUCUAAUACAGUUUGCUAAUGACGGUACCGUAAGAAUAAGCACCGGCUAACUACGUG